AACAGUGACAUGUAUCUCAGCCC
rnacentral:piRNA from 1 species